rnacentral:lncRNA from 1 species
UUGCACUUGAAAAUUGGACAACAACUUGCUUCUCCACCACAAUACACCGAUAUAGUUAGAUGUUUCCAUCUAUUUUAUGUAGUAAUUUAUAUUUCUUAACUUUUUUGAAACACCAAGUUAAGGUACCAUGUGCAACGGCUACAACAAAUAUUGUUCUAAAAUGAUCCAGACUUUUUCUACAUGCAACAUGCUACAUUACAUUGUUCAUGAAAAAUUAGGAACUUUUGUGGAAUCGUUUGUUAUUUUCUACGCGCUAAAUGAAUUCCGAGUAACUUGCUAGAUAUACAUAAAAUUGAAUUCCAUGUACCGUGGAAAGGGAAUCUAAGAGGAAAAGAAAUUCAUAUUCAAGUACUUAUGUAACUCUUUAGUCCCUAUCCAAAAAAUAUAUGAAAAAAAGCAUACAUUUCCUUGGGAUAAAUAUCAAAUAUUUACAUGCUCAAUAUAGCCUUUUCAUUUUUCAUAAAACCUCAGUGCGUUUAAUAGAAUAAGAACAAAUGCAUGGGUGAUGAUAUGGCUCGUGAGAUUGUGCCUAAAAAUUCAAUAUUUUCAUAAAAGUGCAAUUUACAUCGCUUUGUAGAUUUCCAUAUAUACUAAAAUUAAGAUACUCUCAUUUUUCUCUAGUGUGCGCUAGAAGCUCAUGCGAAGUCAUUAACAAAUCGGGCCCGUUCAUUGGAUGCAUGUCUCUGCAAUUUAACCGAAUUAACUUAAACAACAUAAUCUGAACAACACUUUACAUAAUUAAACAAUUAAAACAAUUAACAUAAUUAAACACGAUAGAUUUUACAAGCAUAAUUGCGCGUUCGUUCCCACUUAACCUAAUUAAACAUAGUUAAAAAACAAUGCAUGCCUAGUCCUCAUUGUGAGAGAAGAUGAUUGCUUAGUCCCCUCUAGUGAUCCGGUAAAGGAGCAAAAAGGAUCCUCGUCCUUUUCUCUAGAGGUGACCCUGAGUUAUCGAACCCACGAGAGGACGGUGUCCUUUAAGCAAGGUUUUCGAACAAGCUUUCGCAAGAGUAUUAAAUUUCAGCUUCUGACCGGAUCGUAAUUUAAGCUGACACGAAAACACUUAUAAUAAAAAUAGGCAUGGGUACGAGGUCUUAUGCUUACAAUCAUAUAUUUGUAUUGGCAUCAUCAUCAUCCUAAUUUGUGGCGUGAAAGUCAUCCAUCAAGAUGUGCUUAUUAUGUAUCGAAGUGGGGGAUGUGCACAAAUUACGUAUUGACCGACAUUUGUCCUGCAUCAAGAGUCGGUUGUCCAAUUGAAGGCCCUAUUCGGAGAUCAUGUUGCCCGAGUAAUUAAGGUAGCAAUAAUGAGAGAAAGGCCUUGAGUGUUUAAUGAUUACACCUCUUGAAUCCAUAGAGAUAGGCUCGUGUGACCGUAAACCUUCCGGUCACUUGUGUUCAAAAUAACACUCCACGAUCUCUCGGACCCCAGCCUCUCCAUGACCCACUCUCCAUGAUUCUGGGUACUUGCAAAUACUCUUGUACUCAAUUGCAAGGAUUAAAUUUGAUAGUGAUAGAUA